UGGGGAAUUUUGGACAAUGGGGGAAACCCUGAUCCAGCCAUCCCGCGUGUGCGAUGAAGGCCUUCGGGUUGUAAAGCACUUUUGGCAGGAAAGAAACGUCAUGGGUUAAUACCCCGUGAAACUGACGGUACCUGCAGAAUAAGCACCGGCUAACUACGUGCCAGCAGCCGCGGUAAUACGUAGGGUGCAAGCGUUAAUCGGAAUUACUGGGCGUAAAGCGUGCGCAGGCGGUUCGGAAAGAAAGAUGUGAAAUCCCAGAGCUCAACUUUGGAACUGCAUUUUUAACUACCGGGCUAGGGUGUGUCAGAGGGAGGUGGAAUUCCGCGUGUAGCAGUGAAAUGCGUAGAUAUGCGGAGAAACACCGAUGGCGAAGGCAGCCUCCUGGGAUAACACUGACGCUCAUGCACGAAAGCGUGGGGAGCAAACAGG
rnacentral:rRNA from 1 species